GGUUGGAGAGAUGGCUCAGUGGUUAAGAGCACUGACUGCUCUUCCAGAGGUCCUGAGUUCAAUUCUCAGCAACCA
rnacentral:tRNA from 1 species